GUCCCCAUAGCUCAGCGGUAGAGCAGCGGAUUCUUAAUCCGCGGGUCGCAGGUUCGAAUCCUGCUGGGGACA
rnacentral:tRNA from 1 species